UUGAAUUACCUCUCUGCUGCCCGGACUCGUUCCCGAUCUUAGCUCUCUUAUUUCUGAACUCUUCUCUGUCCCUCAGCUUCUCUUCCUCAACCUGCUGCACAUAAACCAUCAACCUUGAUAUGUCCAUGUCCCCAAUAAGCAUUGCAGCCCUACCUUCCUUACUUGACAACCGAGACAGCCCAGCAACAAACAAGCUCAUUCUAUUCCUCAUGUCCGCAACCAUCUCCGGAGCAUAGCGGGAUAAUUGUGUGAACUUCAAACUGUACUCAUGAACACUCAAGGACUCCUGCUUAAGUGUGAGGAACUCACGUACCUUGGCCUCUCUCAAUUCUCGAGGAAAGAAAUGCCCCAAGAAAGCUUCCUAAAAACCGGCCCAAUUUGCAGGUGGUGCAUUCUCAGCUCUGCCC
rnacentral:lncRNA from 1 species